rnacentral:rRNA from 1 species
AGAUUGAACGCUGGCGGCAGGCCUAACACAUGCAAGUCGAGCGGUAGAGAGGUGCUUGCACCUCUUGAGAGCGGCGGACGGGUGAGUAAUGCCUAGGAAUCUGCCUAGUGGUGGGGGAUAACGUUCGGAAACGGACGCUAAUACCGCAUACGUCCUACGGGAGAAAGCGGGGGACCUUCGGGCCUCGCGCCAUUAGAUGAGCCUAGGUCGGAUUAGCUAGUUGGUGAGGUAAUGGCUCACCGGGGCGACGAUCCGUAACUGGUCUGAGAGGAUGAUCAGUCACACUGGAACUGAGACACGGUCCAGACUCCUACGGGAGCAGCAGUGGGAAUAUGGACAAUGGGCGAAAGCCUGAUCCAGCCAUGCCACGUGUGUGAAGAAGGUCUUCGGAUUGUAAAGCACUUUAAGUUGGAGAAGGUUGUAACUUAAUACGUUGCAACUUUGACGUUACCGACAAGAAUAAGCAACGGCUAACUUCGUGCCAGCAGCCG